UGUUUGUUCAUAUAGAUAAGCCUUCAGACUCAAAAUUUCUAAAAUUCUAAUUUUACUUUUAUAAACAAGAAACAUUUUGUUCAGUGUAAAGAUGGGUAUCGUUAGUAUCCGGUUUUUAAAUAAUUUUACAGAUUUUUUUACAUAAUUAUAAUUUUUCUAUCAGUUUUCUUUUAUAAAAUUAUGUAAAAUUUUGACUCUGAAUCGUUCAGUCUACCAGAGUAAAUGCAAACUAUUAGCUAGAGAAUACUAUUAUAAAAUAUGUUAAUCUUCAAAGAGUCUUAUGAACGCCUAAAAAUCUUGAAAUUUUAGAAACGGAAAAUAUUGAUGCCCAGCUUUAGUUAGUCAUGAUGCUGGUUUUUAUUCUAUUUUAUUUUGUUGGUUUUACAUAAUCGUCUCAAGUAUCUGAAACGAGUCACAAUAUAUUUGUAAUGAAGGAAAACUGGAAAAAAAUUGUUUAUCAGUGAAAAAAUUGCUUUUAUUGUUAACACUUAUUUUUAUUGGAAUAUCCAACCUAUUCAUUCUUACUUUGGACUGUACCGUCAAUUUACAAUUACUAAAGCGGCAGAGGAGUGUGACAGUAGUCAGCCAUAUAAAUACCAUUUGAGUACCUGCAAUAACGCAAUGAUAUAUCUCCCUUCUAUUUCAUACUCCUUGACACUGACCAUUCUUUAUUAUGUUAUCCAUCGAUAUCAUUAGUUUCUCUACAUAUUUAUAAUUUGUAAUCCACCCUGCUUAAUUCCUAAUAUUGCUUAUCAAACAAAAAAUUGUGAUAAAUUAGUUUUUAACAGAAAUAUUUAUUUAUUUUAAAUAAAAUUUUAUUUUUA